rnacentral:rRNA from 1 species
UACGUAGGGGGCAAGCGUUGUCCGGAAUCAUUGGGCGUAAAGCGCGUGUAGGCGGUUCAGUAAGUCUGCUGUGAAAGUCCAGGGCUCAACCCUGGGAUGCCGGUGGAUACUGCUGGACUAGAGUGCGGGAGAGGCGAGUGGAAUUCCUGGUGUAGCGGUGAAAUGCGUAGAUAUCAGGAGGAACACCGGUGGCGAAGGCGGCUCUCUGGACCACAACUGACGCUGAGGCGCGAAAGCUAGGGGAGCAAACAGG